rnacentral:lncRNA from 1 species
UUUCAUGUUCCUACACUUAGUCCCCAUACUCAAGCUUGGCUUAUUUUUCGUUGUUUACCAUACAUUCAACUUCUCAGAACACAAGAUUUACUACUCAACAAAGAGUGUGUUACUUGGCAUCCACUUCAAGACAAAGAAUUAAUUACACAUACUUGUGACCAUAAUGCUACUAUCACAUACUUCUCUUAAUACCAAGGUUCAAUUUUCUCCAC